UCCGUGAACCUUGGCGCCUUAUAUAUAGAGAUUGAGCCUUAGGUUCGAUUAGGCUAGUUGUGGGUUAUGCCUAGCCAACGCGACGAUUCUGUAGCGGUCUGAGAAGGAUGAUCCGCCACACUGGACUGAGACACGGCCAGACUCUACGGGAGGCAGCAGUGGGGAUAUUGACAAUGGCGCAAGCUGAUCCAGCCAUGCCCGCGUGUGUGAGAAGCCUUAUGGUGUAAAGCACUUUAAGCGAGGAGGAGGCUACUUUAGUUAAUACCUAGAGAUAGUGGACGUUACUCGCAGAAUAAGCACCGGCUAACUCUGUGCCAGCAGCCGCGGUAAUACAGAGGGUGCAAGCGUUAAUCGGAUUUACUGGGCGUAAAGCGCGCGUAGGCGGCUAAUUAAGUCAAAUGUGAAAUCCCCGAGCUUAACUUGGGAAUUGCAUUCGAUACUGGUUAGCUAGAGUGUGGGAGAGGAUGGUAGAAUUCCAGGUGUAGCGGUGAAAUGCGUAGAGAUCUGGAGGAAUACCGAUGGCGAAGGCAGCCAUCUGGCCUAACACUGACGCUGAGGUGCGAAAGCAUGGGGAGCAAACAGGAUUAGAUACCCUGGUAGUCCAUGCCGUAAACGAUGUCUACUAGCCGUUGGGGCCUUUGAGGCUUUAGUGGCGCAGCUAACGCGAUAAGUAGACCGCCUGGGGAGUACGGUCGCAAGACUAAAACUCAAAUGAAUUGACGGGGGCCCGCACAAGCGGUGGAGCAUGUGGUUUAAUUCGAUGCAACGCGAAGAACCUUACCUGGCCUUGACAUAGUAAGAACUUUCCAGAGAUGGAUUGGUGCCUUCGGGAACUUACAUACAGGUGCUGCAUGGCUGUCGUCAGCUCGUGUCGUGAGAUGUUGGGUUAAGUCCCGCAACGAGCGCAACCCUUUUCCUUAUUUGCCAGCGAGUAAUGUCGGGAACUUUAAGGAUACUGCCAGUGACAAACUGGAGGAAGGCGGGGACGACGUCAAGUCAUCAUGGCCCUUACGGCCAGGGCUACACACGUGCUACAAUGGUCGGUACAAAGGGUUGCUACCUAGCGAUAGGAUGCUAAUCUCAAAAAGCCGAUCGUAGUCCGGAUUGGAGUCUGCAACUCGACUCCAUGAAGUCGGAAUCGCUAGUAAUCGCGGAUCAGAAUGCCGCGGUGAAUACGUUCCCGGGCCUUGUACACACCGCCCGUCACACCAUGGGAGUUUGUUGCACCAGAAGUAGCUAGCCUAACUGCAAAGAGGGGGCGGGU
rnacentral:rRNA from 1 species